UUGACACAUACAAUACAGAAACUGGCCUCGUCUCACACUGGAAUGCAGCAAACCUAAGCUUCAUCAGGACACAGGCACAUGUAACUGGUGGUUAAUGACAACUGGAGACUUGUUUAAAGCGUAUCUAAACACUAAUUAUUCUGCCCUGUUGUUUUGUUGUGUUUUUGUUUUACUCCCAGAAGGAAAUUAUUAACAGACCUUCUCUUCACCAGGCCUGCGAGAGAUUCUGACUGAGAAGGAAACUGUUGCUUUUGGAACAGGACAUGGGGUUGCCAUCAUGACAGACGUGGAGCACCAGAUUCCGGUUAGACUUCUGCUGUUUCCGAGGUCAACAAUGAACUUUAAGCCUUAGUUGUCAUGCAUAACAAGGACAUAGAGUCCUAGAGAUGCUCAGAAUCAUCAUAAAAAGUUUUUGGUGAUCUACAAUAUCAUGACAACUGAGGAAACUACAUCUGCUGAGGAAGACUGUGUGAUACUGUUGAAAGCUCCAGAACAAUUGAAUGGCUGUUUCGUCAAUACCUGAAAGAAGCUUUUCAUCGCUUUCAAAAGGCACUUCGGAGACAGUACAUAUUGGCCUUUAAUUUAGGAGACUAAAUUAUCCUGAUGUGAUAAACCCACCCACCUCACACUCUCAGUAGGUAAAAACAAACACACACAUGUUAAAUUACAUUAGACACUAGUCUGAACUAUAAUGUACAGCAAGAAGCAGAGACACACAGCAGCUCCAAUGAAGUUAGCCCAACUUAUCUUAAGUUUCCUUUUGAGAGGGUCUUAACUGGAAAUAAAUUUAUCGCAACCUGUGAUAUUUGUGCAAUAUUCAAACCUUGACAUUUCAUUUCAUUAGAUGAUUGGUUCAUAUCCAAACUUGAAUAUGGUUUCAUGGUUGAUAUAGAGCUGAAAGUAAGCUUUGUUAGUUCAUGUGUUGAUGAUUUGGCUUUAUACAUGGACUUAAUAAAACUGUUCCAGGAGUAAACAGAA